rnacentral:rRNA from 1 species
UACGUAGGGGGCAAGCGUUGUCCGGAAUCAUUGGGCGUAAAGAGCGCGUAGGCGGUCCGGUAAGUCCGCUGUGAAAGUCAAGGGCUCAACCCUUGAAUGCCGGUGGAUACUGUCGGGCUAGAGUCCGGAAGAGGCGAGUGGAAUUCCUGGUGUAGCGGUGAGAUGCGCAGAUAUCAGGAGGAACACCAAUGGCGAAGGCAGCUCGCUGGGACGGUACUGACGCUGAGGCGCGAAAGCGUGGGGAGCAAACAGG